rnacentral:rRNA from 1 species
UACGAAGGGGGCUAGCGUUGUUCGGAAUUACUGGGCGUAAAGCGCACGUAGGCGGAUAUUUAAGUCAGGGGUGAAAUCCCAGAGCUCAACUCUGGAACUGCCUUUGAUACUGGGUAUCUAGAGUAUGGAAGAGGUGAGUGGAAUUCCGAGUGUAGAGGUGAAAUUCGUAGAUAUUCGGAGGAACACCAGUGGCGAAGGCGGCUCACUGGUCCCAUUACUGGACGCUGAGGUGCGAAAGCGUGGGGGAGCAAACAGG